rnacentral:sRNA from 1 species
AUUCCGUUUAGCAGAAAACAAUCUAUUGCCAAUCCGGUCAUAUUAAAAAAAAAUACAUUAUCUGUCCUUAGCAUACAAAAAGACUCCUGCCGCUAAUAAUGAAAUUUAGCCCCAAUUGGAUACUUACUCUCAGUCCGUCCUCAGAUCGUAAUGUUUAAUUUAUUGGUUUUCUGUCAAAAGUUCGUGUGUUGUAUUGGGUAUGAGUCGCAAGCAAUCACCUGCGGCACUGGGUCACUACCAGUGCCUUGACUGUUGUCCCACGAUGGUGCAGAGGAGAGUGAUUAAGAAACGGAGGGCAACAGCCGAGGCCGAUUUGGUUCCAACGGGCAAAGUCGAACAAAUGGGCGAACAGCUUCAACUCGUUCGUCAUUUCUAAAAAUACCAAUGCCAAUGCCAAAAAUAAUCGCCGCAAG